UUGAUGCGAUAGUAAGUCUCGCAACACUGCCAAAGUUUGUUUUGCGCAUCAUGGCGGUCGAUGCGGCAAUCGUUGCAGUACGUGUUGUUUUGAAUUUCGUUGCGGCUUUUGGUACGGCUCAUCUCGGUCGCAGUAGCUGUAAAUUCGGAUACUCCCUCCGGAUCCAUCACCUUCCUUGUUCGGAAGCAGAAGGAUCGUGUUCCGGUGCCACUCACAUCCAGGAUGGAAGGAACAGAUUUGGAAUACAAGUCCGAACGUAGGUAUUGGGGGAAAGUGGGGAUGUUUCCCCAUGGAAGGAGGAUGGCAGAGAAGCCUACGGAUUUUUGUUGUGCACCUGGAUGAGCUGGAGAAUGUAACCAAAUACAUCCAUGAAUGCCCGAUCCGGUGAAUCCCUGAUACAGCCAACCAACGAUAACGAUACAGAUCAGUACGAGAAACAUAAACGGGCUCUGUGAAUCAUGGUUGCUGAGGGAAUCAAAACACAUCCUCGAGUGCACGUAUCUGGAAGGCUCCACUGAGGUUCUUCGGAUUCAUGAUUUGAAGCCACCCAGCCAUUAUUCUCCAUAAAAAUUUUGCAAUAAAUA